GAGUCUUUAGCUCAGUUGGUUAGAGCACCUCACUUUUAAUGAGGGGGUCGAAGGUUCGAGUCCUUCAAGACUCA
rnacentral:tRNA from 1 species